UUGACCUUUUGUGUGACCUUAAGAUCUUUAGGAUAAAAUAUUGACUACAUGGAAAAUUUUAUAUUAAAAGCCUUAUUCUUUUUCCUCUUCUCUUCUUUCUUCCUCUGAUUUUCAUGUCCUGGAGUCCACCCUAGCCAGUUAAAUGAAGCCAUCACCAAUCCACAGAACUACCCUCUUCACUCCCAUAUUGAACAAUGGGGUAUCACCUCCCCUGGGAAGGGGGACAGCGUUUGUUGGGAUAGCCUUAAUAGAUAAUUAUUUAGUUUACUUAUCCCUUCUUCUAACUAAGUCUCAAUGCUCCCACAUAAUUACAUCACUAUUCAUAAGAUUCACUCUUAAUUGGCUGUGUACCUCUAAGCAAUAUUCACACUUCAUAUAUCCUUACAUCUUUCUUCUUUGAUCCUUUAAAAAUCCACAGCAUCAUCUCUUGACUCUUCACUUCACAAUAUGAUGAUAUUGGUAUCCUCAACCUUUCCUUUGUUUCUUUUAUUUCCUUCCAUACAAUAAAUGUGUCAUCUGCAAUUUUACUUUUACAUUGUCAAGGUUGAGAAUAUUUACAUUCUAUUAAGUAGCAUAAUCAAGUAUUUUCAUGCCUUGUCUAUAAGUUGAUUCUAAAAGUUGAAACAAAUUGUGUUUAUAUUAUUAGAACUUCAUAAAUAACUGUUCACCACAAAGUCAUACAGAUAUAAUUAGUUACUCUCUUUUAUAAUUUAAUUUUUUUUCCCUGGAAUAAAAUUCUGCUUUUCUUAAAACAGUUGACUUUAUCACAUCCUUAAUUUAUUUUUUACACUAUCUGCCAAGUAAAAUAUUCUGCCAUGGUAAAAGUCUGCUACCUGUCCCCCCAGUAUCUGUUCUCCAAUUUCUGCUCUAAUAAACCAAAAUUAAAUUUAGCUUGGACAGGGACAUUUGGAAUAAAAAAAAUGAUAAUGCUUUUUUUCAGAUUAGCUUACAUUCAGGUGUAGUCAUUGACUUAGUUCUGAUCAAGGAAUGUAAGGUUCAGUGUUGUGUGCAACUUUCACUAAGAGUCUUAAAAAGAAUCUUUUAGUACUGUGUGUCCAUUCUUUUUCCCUUCCUCUAUUCCACUUUCUGGUAUCUUAGAGGGAUAGCUGGCACUCAACCUUGGGCUGCUAUUACUACUCCAAGGAGAGCAAAGAAGACCGUUGUUCUGGGACCUAGAUUUUGGUGUAGCUGCUACAGCUACCUGAACUACUUACACUCAGGCUUUUAUGUGAAAGGAAAAUAAACUUUCACCUUGCCAAAACUGCCCUGCAGCCUUCCUAACAGCUCAAGACUGCCUCACUCUGGGCUUCUUUCAUGUGACAAAAAAUAAAAAAAAAAACUUUUUUGGGGGGGAGGUUGUUUGAGCUACAAUUAUUUAACAUCUCUUCCUAGCAGAAAAAUUAUAAACUCAGAAAGAACAUCGUUUUGAAUACAUGCUUGACUCAUUUUCUUCAUGAAGCAAUACAUGGAGGAUGUUCAGAGUUUAUUGUGGGGCACAGAGGUAGGAAACUAAGUAAGACGCAAGGACAGCUGGAGUAAGUCUAGUGACACAUAUUCCUAAUCAAAUGUAUUUUAGACUGGACAUCAAUGGAAAACUAUGGCUUCAUUUAACUGACUAGGGUGGACUUCAGGACACAAAAAUCAGAGGGAGAAAGAAGAAAGGAGGAAAAAAAUAAGGUUCUUAAUAUAAAAUUAUCCAUGUAGUCAAUAUUUUAUCCCAAAGAUCUUGAGGUCACAGAAAAGCAGAGGCACAGCUGGACAAUCAAUCCACUUAUUCAACCCAAGUUCUCCAUUUUCCUACAAUUUCUGGACCUAACUUUUUAAUCUUACAUUCACCUUUCCAUAUCCAAGAUUAUCCCUUUACCCACAAUAUCACCCUAGUUCUGCUCACUUUAUUCUUUUCAAAGCUCUGUCCUUCCUCCCUGCCAGCUUGAGAUCAAAAUCCCCAGAGCUCUUGAGCAGACCAGAAAUCUGGCCUCUGUGUACCUUUGUCGUAUUCAUAUAUAGACACAGUGGGAGUGGGGGCGAGUAGAAAAUCACUUAGCCACAGCAACGGUGUACAGGAAAGAGAGGACAGCAGUCUUAUGGAUAAAUUGCUUACAUGCAGAUGCUCAACUGAAUCUGUAAUGAAAAGAAAAUCUGAAUGCUUGGCCAAGGAGAAGUAAAUUCCCUGAGGUCAAUCCUUUGUUGGUCUCUUUGAUCUUCUUCAGUAAUGGGUCAAUCAGACCACCUGCCCCGAAGCUCAGAUGCUGUCCAUGUGAUUUGCUUGCUGUCACUGUGUCCUAGCCAGAGUCUUGGGAUUUAGGUUACUCUCGCAUUUAAGAGGCCUUUACUGGGAGAAAGGAUAAUAAUACUUAACAAUUAUACUCUACUUAUAUACCACUUCUGUGUAUUUUUACAUAUAUUGUCUAAUAUAAUCCUCCCCAUCAACCUGAGAGACAGGCAGGUGGUUCAUUUUAAAAAUAAUUUAUCAUUUUAAAAAUAAAAUGUACUGUAUAUUUAGUUUAUGAUAGACAUGUAUGAGGUAUAUGUUUAAUCUUUACAACAGCCCAAGACCUAGACCAUGUUUUACAGUUGAGUCAACCAGGGCACCCAGUUAGUAAGUGCUACUGGUAUAAAUAAAUUGUUAAUGAUUUUUUAAAAUGCUAAUGCCUACUGCUGAUGGCCUAUGAGACAGUAAGGUGUGUAUUCUGUAGAGCAAUUUGCUAUAUGUACAUGAAGUCAUGAAAAAGCAAAUAUCUUCUGACUUGGCAAAUUCCCUUCAAAGAAUUUGAUCCAGGAAAAUAGUUAGACAUCUAACACCUCAAGUACAAGAAUAUCCAUUGCGGAGUUUUUUAAUUGUGAAAAACAAUACUGGCCGGGUGUGGUGGCUCAUGCCUGUAAUCCCAGCACCUUGGAAGACUGAGGCGGGUGGAUCACCUGAGGUCAGGGGUUCAAGACCAGCCUGGUCAACAUGGUGAAACCCCAUGUCUACUAAAAAUAUAAAAAUUAGCUGGAUGUGACGGCUUAUGCCUGUAAUCUCAGCUACUCAGGAGGCUGAGGCAGGAGAAUCACUUUAACCCGGGAGGCAGAGGUUGCAGUGAGCCAAGAUCACACCACUAUACUCCAGCCUGGGUGACAGAGCAAGACUCCGUCAAAAAAAAGAAAAGAAAGGAAGGAAGGAAGGAAGAAAGUAAGAGAGAGAGAGGGAGGAAGGAAAGAAAGA
ensembl:lncRNA